CGGACGGGUGGAGUAACGCGUGGGCGAACCUGCCCUGUACUGGGGGAGUAACGACCUGGAAACAGGUGCUAAUACCGCAUAAGCGCGCAGUGCCGCAUGGCACGGCGCGGAAAACCCCGGUGGUACAGGAUGGGCCCGCGUCUGAUUAGCUGGUUGGCAGGGUAACGGCCUACCAAGGCGACGAUCAGUAGCCGGCCUGAGAGGGUGGACGGCCACACUGGGACUGAGACACGGCCCAGACUCCUACGGAAGGCAGCAG
rnacentral:rRNA from 1 species